rnacentral:rRNA from 1 species
CGUGCAGGCGGUGGUGCGCGUUUUGUGUGACAGCGCGAGGCUUCACCUCGUGAGGAUACGAAAGACGGCAGCACUUGAGAGCGCGAGAGGGACACGGAAUUCCGGGUGGAGUGGUGAAAUGCGUAGAGAUCCGGAGGAACACCGAAGGCGAAGGCAGUGUCCUGGCGCGCAUCUGACGCUGAGGCGCGAAAGCCAGGGGAGCGAACG